rfam:Microgenomates bacterium GW2011_GWA1_45_10 TW86_C0004, whole genome shotgun sequence.
CUCCCCGUAGUUCAAUGGAUAGAAUGGGAAGCUUCUAACUUCUAGAUGGGGGUUCGAUUCCCUCCGGGGAGA